CGGGUUUGCUGGACAAAAAGCGGAAGUCGUUGAACAAACUCAAAAUACACUCAACCCUGAUUGGACAACGAAAAUCAACAAACAUUUCAAAUUUCUGUAGUCAGUAAUGUAAUAUAAAUUUGAAUCAAAACAAUUAACAAAUGUUGUCGGGGGGAAACCAGUGCAAAUCUAAAUAUUUAAAUUUAAGAAGUUUAGUCAGUAUAAUAACGUUUGUGAAUUGUUUUGAUUCAAAUAAUCAAAUUAUUACAGUACUGUUCCAAGUACUGUCCCCCUUCCCAGUGCCAGUGGAGAGAAAUUUGAAAUGUUUGUUGAUUUUCGUUGUCCAAUCAGGGUUGAGUGUAUUUUGAGUUGUUCAACGACUUCCGCUUUUUGUCCAGCAAACCCGGCACGCGGAUAUAUUUUGGGC